rnacentral:rRNA from 1 species
AUUGAACGCUGGCGGCAUGCCUUACACAUGCAAGUCGAACGGCAGCACGGGAGCAAUCCUGGUGGCGAGUGGCGAACGGGUGAGUAAUAUAUCGGAACGUGCCCAGUCGUGGGGAUAACGUAGCGAAAGCUACGCUAAUACCGCAUACGAUCUAUGGAUGAAAGCGGGGGAUCGCAAGACCUCGCGCGAUUGGAGCGGCCGAUAUCAGAUUAGGUAGUUGGUGAGGUAAAGGCUCACCAAGCCGACGAUCUGUAGCUGGUCUGAGAGGACGACCAGCCACACUGGGACUGAGACAGGCCCAGACUCCUACGGAGGCAGCAGU